UUUCUCUGAAUCUGCGAACGGCUCCGCACACCAGUUGUAAACCAUAGCGAGCAAACCUGGGGGAGGCGCUCUUUACUGGGCGACUGCCCCGGGUUGCAUAUGGAUAUCCAUGGUAAUCCUGAGGCUAAUACAAGUACAUAGGACCCUGCCGACCGGGCAACUGGAAGGCAGGGGGUUGUGUGAAGCCUAACCGCGACACUCGACCAUGAAUAGACGCACAAUCAGACCACCACAUCAAGAACGGUUGGGUUCCGCGCCGUCUCCUCUCGGGGGGAAGGCCGGGGCCUGUCCGGGUGGCUCUCGCUUUGUGCUUCUGACCUAUCAACUAGAUGGCAGCGUAAGGGACAUGCCAUGGUGACAACGGGUACAGAGGAUAAGGGUUCGAUCCUGGAGAGUGGGCCUGAGAGAUU
rnacentral:rRNA from 1 species